rnacentral:lncRNA from 1 species
AUGCAGUCUCUUGGAUCUUACUUUUAGCCUAGUUAGCUAACUAUGUGUUUUAAUUAGACAAUCAAGAUGGUUUUUAUUUAAGGUUAUUGUUGAGAGAAUUUUGCUGAUUUUUGUGAUUUUGUUGGUUGUUUUCUAGUUGGUUGGACUAUUUCUCCUUUUUCCCUACGAUGGGGAUUGCUGGUAUACUGGGUUGGAUAUAGUUGAUUCUUUUCUAAUUCUGUUUUGUCUGUCUUGGGAGAUUCACUUUUCCCUGUGUUCUCAUGACUGAGGCUACCUGUGUGCUUAGGAGCCCUUUAAGCAUCUUUGUGAUGCUAAGAUUGUGUUUUACUCUGCACUUGUCCUGAAAUGUCUUUAUUUCCUCACCAGUUUUAAAAGCUAGCUUUGCUGGUUUUAGUAUCUUGGAUGGAAAUUAUUUACUUUCAGGGCUUAGAAUAUAUAUCAACGCUUUCCUGGCUUUUAGGAUUUGUGCUGUGCAGUUUACGCCAUUUUGCUGUUCGCCUUUGUAAAUGAGUUGGUAUUUCCCUUUAGAGCUUUGUAUAUUCUUUAAUUCUUUAGGAUUGCUUGUAGAAUCAGUGUAUUCAGUAUACUGUGUUCAUGUUUGUUUGAGAUUCUGCAUGUCUAUUGCGCUUGAAUACUUAUUUCCAUGGAUUUGGAGCAUUUUCUGUUCUCUGUUUAUUGAUUAGACUUUCUUCUUUCUUUCUUCCUCCCUUUCUUUCUCUUCUUCCUUCCUUCCUUCCUUCCUUCCUUCCUUCCUUCCUUCCUUCCUUCCUUCCUUUGUGAAAACUGGCAAAAGCCUUCUCUUCUGGCAAAAGUUCUUCUCUUCUGUGAUAACUCUGGCCUUUCCCUUUUUGUACACAUUCCAGGUGGGCAUCACAGGUCCUUUUAGCUGGGUGGCCAAUUUAAGUUCUUCAGCAGAACUGUCUUCCUUCUUUGGAGCAGAAGGCUUCCUACUCCUUCAGGGGCUGCAUGUUGAUCUGUAGUGGUUCGGUGGACUUGUUUCUCCUCCUAGGGUCCACAGACACUUUUCUGUGCCUGUAGAUUUGUGUGUGUAUUUGUGUGUAAAUGUGCAUAUGCACACAUACAAAUGUAUGAGAGUUCAUAUGUGGUGGUGCACAUGGGGUAUGUAUGCACAUGUAUGAAAAUGCAUGUAGAAGUCUCAGGUGCCACCCACUCAUAUAUUUCCUUGGAAAUAGGCUCCUUUACUGACCUAGAACGUGCCAAGCAAGUCUGGCGGGCUAGCCAACAUCUCCUGGAAUGGCUUGUCCUUCCCUCCUCCUGCUGACUACUUAGCUUUGUCUAUCAACUUGGCACAGCCUAGAGUCAUCUGAGAGAGGAGUUGCUUAGAGUAGAUUGCCCUGUGGACAUGUCUUGAUACAGGAGGCCCAGUUCACUGUAGACAGUACUUACUGUUCCUGGACAUCUGGUUCUGAACUGUAUGAGGAAACUUGCUGAGGAGCCAGGGUGAUGAUGACUCGGUGAUUAAGGGCACUUACUGUAGUUCCAGAGGACCAGAAUUUGGUUCUUAUCACCUGCACAACAGCUCACAGGUCUCUGUCUGUCUAGUUCUAGGGGGUCCAAUGUCCUGUUUUGGCCUCUGUGGGCACAGGCACACAUGUAAUGCACAUGCAUGCUUUCAGGCAAACAUUUUCACGCAUAAAAUAAAAAUCAGUCUUAAAGAAAGAAGGGGGCUGACAGCUGAGGAUGACCCAGCAUCCUCCAUGGCUCCUGCUGUAGUACUGGCUGUGAACUGAGUUACUUAGUUGAAGGAAAUGAUGUGCUGAAUAGGACAUCGGCCUGCUGUGAGUGCCUGCUUUAACUUCUGACUAUGACUUCCCCUCUCCUGAGUUGCUUUGGUACCGGUGUUUGUCACAGUAAGGGAGAUGGAACUAGAAGAUCAACACUGGAAUUGCAAGAGCACACGACAGGCCCAACCUUUCUUAUGAGUUCUAGGGAUCAAUAUUUUUCUGGAUGCUUAUGAGGCAAACACUUUACCAACUGAACUGUCUUCCCAACACACAGACACACACAUGCACAAACAGUCACACACAGGCACACACCAGGACUAUAAAUGCCAAGCCACAGUUACAUGCUUGAAUAAUUUUCUGAUAGCAAACGUCUUAGUUUGCCACACCACCUCCAGUAGGAUGUGUGUGACAAGUUCCAUAGGCGAUUGACCUCAAAACGGGGAGGCCUCCUGGAACCCGUUGUGGAACUCUUCGCCAGAGAAAAUAAUAUUGAGCCAUAGUUCUCAUGGCAAUCUAUCUGUUUUGUUUUCUCUUAUUCCUUUUCUUAUUUACAUGUUCCUAGCCAAGAUCUUAAGCGAGAAUAAUGGGCAAGAAACCAUUCCUUGAGAUGGGGCCACUAACAUGACCUUAUCCCCGGGGAAACCAACGCUUUACUUUUUAAAUCAUUUACAAAACUAUUAUGAUAGAUAAAAAUUUUCCCAAUAACAAAAUUUCAUACAGCUACAUGUGUGUCAUCAGAGGUGGGUUUUGGUAUAUGG